rnacentral:lncRNA from 1 species
UUUAUCUAAAUAAAUAACUGCUAUGGCUGUUUUUACUUCGUAGCAUCAAGUCAACAUUGAACCCAUGUGGGUUAGACGGCAUGCAGAGCUGGAAAAUCAAAACCGCAUUCUGAUUGGCUAGAUUUAAUGUCUGUCAUGGCACAACCCCGCCUCCUAAGAAUUUCUUGGAUUUCCAUUGGUUAACGCGCGGCAGUGGGUGUACAGGAAACUGUACUGGAGGGAAAUACUUCCCUCAGGGAAUACGAUUCAGAAACUUUGUUCCGCACGUACUUUUAAAAUAAACACAAUUCAAAAAACGCCCGUCAAAUAGCUACAAAAACUUUAUUCUUUAACACACAUUUAAAAGAUCAGCAUUUUAAAUAUAUUCAACCGGAAAUUAAUGCGGUCGCUCCCCGCGAAUUCCUAAAACCCCCAUCAGGACCGUUGUACUGUAAUACUGCGGUAGUACUACUACUUCCUUUACUACGCAGUAUUUUGUGUACUGCACUGCCUUUUGUCCUGCAUUUGUCCUUAGUGGAGACGUUUACGGGGGUUUUUUGGGGGAAAGAAAACGGAUCGUUCAGAUUUUUCCCAUCAGAGUCAUGCCGCCUAAAAGAAACUCCACAUCAAGUCCCACACACCCACAGGUGAAGAUGAUAAAGAUCGGAAGUGUUUCGGAUGCGCACGAGUUUCACAACUUCUCAAUGGAGGAAAACUACCUGGAGGAAGAGCCCUCCAGCCACAUGCACCUCCUCAAGAAUGAGCCUGAAAGUAUUGACUUUGAUGAAGAAAAUCCUGGCAGUCCAGGCAUCAGAACAGACACCAUCAGCCUGUUGAUGAAAAUUGAGCAACUCCAGGCUCAGCUGAAGUAUGAGCGCAGAUGCAGACUGUUGGCAGAGAAGGAGCUGAGGGAACUCAGAGAGAUGAACAGCCUCAUGAUUCAGAUGAGGCACACCGCGCACGAGCUGAGGGUUACUCUGGAUCAGGUUCUUCAAGGAGGCGAGGCAGUAGUCGCCCCACAAACAGCUGAUGAAUCCAUCACGUUUAUAACUGAACCUGAGGGGCAGAUGAGAGCGGCUCCCAAUGUUUCAGAUGAAGACCAUAAGUUUGUGUAUCUCUCAGAGACUCUUCGAGUGCCGAAAAAUCUCUAUGAGCGCGUUGCAGAAAUAGCAGACUACAAGAAGUACGUUUCAGCAAUGCUGAUGAUACUUUUUGACCGCGCCACUCUGGCCACGCAUUGCCUUCAGGCCCGCAAGACCAGCUUUGUGGGCGAGGAGAGCCACAAACCUUCACUGCCGCCUGAGAUUCUGAAAAGCCUGAUAGAUCACGUUGUGGACAAGUUUUGCGUCGAUAGCAGCCAAGUCAAAACUGCAAUCCGCACAAAGCUGAACAAUGAGGACAAGCUCUUCAAGAAGAGACUGGGGAUAGGCAGAGCUGAAAACAAGCCUGUGUCUGAUCAGACAUUUUCCCAAGAUUCUUCACUUCUAGUGGACAAUGGCGCCGGAAUGAGUAACUCUCAUUUCUAACCGGUGUGUCUUUAUGUCAUCUCGUGUCAUAUAGGAUGACAGGUUGCCCCUACUGAACAAAAAAGGUUGUUUUUGCACACGGUCACCUGCUUCAUUUCAUUCCUUUUAACAUUUGUACAAACGUUGUUUAUUUUUAACUUCUUUUUAUCACACUUGUAGAAAAAUGAAGUCUGUUUUAGAAACACUAAUAAAGUUAAAAGGAUCGCAUUGGAGUGGUUUCCUUGAGGGGUUCCUCAAGUCUCAGUUUUAGGCCUUCUUUUAAUCUCCUUGUACCGCUUUGGCUUUUUUUUAAUAAGAAAAUAUGGUAUCUCCUGUCAUUUUUAUGCAGAUGAUUGUCAGCUGUAUGGGCCUCACAAAUGUCUUAUAGACUUAAAGCCAUGGAUAUUUCUGAAUUGUUCAAGUCUCGGUGACAGCAAAAUAGAAGUGAUCCCUCCCUCGCUGCUAGUCUUGGCUCUUUGAACAAUUAUGUGAUGCCUAAUGCAACAAAUUUGAAAUUCAAGCUGAGACUCGAUGAACAAACUAAUUCAGUUGUAAAGUCUAGGCACUUGGCAAAUGUCAGACUCAUCUUUCUUUUUGCUUUAUAAAUAUAUAUAUAUUUUAAUUAUUACUACUAAUAAACCUGAUGGCCAAUAAUUAUGUGAAAAACACUGGUUAUUUCAGCUGAAAUUCUUACUUAGCUACACUAAGACGUUUAUCAAAAGAUGUUUUUUGGGACCAAUAAUAAUAAUUCAAUCAAGCUCAGAGAAUCUUGUGUCCUGAAAAAUACAGUAAAAUAUUUUUUUAAAUAAUCUAUAAUCCAAGGUUUUGUGGUUUUUGCAAAAUAAAAGCCUAAUCCCCUUGCCAAGGCUCCAUAAAGAGAUCAGACAGAAGAUACUUGAAUGGCUAUCCUGACUACAUAUGACUACAUAGAAUGAAAAAAAAAAAAAAAAAAAAACGCAACUGUAGCAUGGUUGAUAAUCCCAGAAUUUAUUCAGGCAUUGUCUAAAGCAGAGGUCUUCAACCUGCAGCUACAGAGCCACAUCAUCUAUCUAUAACAGGUCUUUGACUUUGGAGGGAAAAAAAAUGUAAAUAAUUUAAAUAAAUAAUGGGGUUAAUUUGCUUUAUUUUAAUUUUUGUGGCCGUUUAUUAUUAGAAUAAAGCACAACUUCUUAUUUUUUUACUGCACAACAAUGUUUAGUAGAAGUUCUUUAAAUGUAUCAUUGAAUUCACAAAUACACUUUUUUAAAUGGAAUUCUUAACCAAUGUUGUUGCUUUUAAAAGUAAGAAAAGGGAUCCAAAGGAAUAAGGGGAUGAAAAUGACAUAUUUGACUUAACUUUAUUUCAAUUUUGAUUCAAGUAAAUCUUAUUUGACACAAAGUAUUUUUUAUUUUGGAAGGAACUUGUGCUUCUGUCAAAAGAAAAGAAAUAUAGCAAAAUAUAACACUGUUAUAAUUCAAAUAAUGUCAAUAUUUGAAAAGUGCAUUCCAAAAACAUAUGCAGUGUAUCUUUCUAAAAGGUGAAGGGGGAGUUUGCUGUUCUUGUUGAGUUUUGUCUUAAAAGAAAUGGUCUCUUUUAGUGUUAAGGUUGCAGACCCCUCAUCUAAAGUACUGGUAAUUUAUUAAAAUGUUAAAACAAAAAUAUUUUCAUACCUGAUUUGUGAUAAAUAAUUUUUAAUUAACAGAUAAGGACAAACAUUUUUCAGAAUUAUUCUUGAUCAGAGCUGUAAAUUCACAUUUGUUUAGUGGAAAAAGCACAAAGGAAGUGAAACUGUAGUUUUCCCAUCCGCCUAUAGGUGUCAGUGUUGAGCCUUUUUUCUCUUCGUGAUGGAGCGCUGAUCUGCUCCUGUAAAGCUGUGAAGUUAAUACUAUGAUCCCAGCUGCCACCGCGCGGUGGGGAGGCAUCGACACUUACACAAUAUAUAGAUUUAUAUUAUAAAUCGUUGGCGUGGUCGUGGUCAAGAAUGUAAAUGGCGGCAGUCAGACGCCAUUAUGAAAUCACGCGACAGCUGGCCGGCCACGGGGCAGGGCAUAGACUGUAUAUAGAACUGGCCUUCCAGAUAGGAACAAGAAGCCAAAAUCCCACAUAUCAUCUCAGGUUUACAUAAUAAUGGGAUGUUACUUAAUUAUUAUCAUUUUUUGUAGUCUACAGGUUGUUGUUCUUCACUGAUGUAAAUGUUCUGAAUAAAGCUUAAAAAAGAAGAAUCCAAAAUCUAUUGAGAACUAAUGAUAGAUCCCCCAUUCUCCCCCCUCCCCUAUUUCGGUGUAAGGGGUGUGGACUUCCAACAAGCUUAGUCAUGAUUGGUGACAGUAGUUACCUUUGACUCAGACCGACUCGGACCAAUCGCUGUCGUCUGGCUCCAAAGAAAAUGGCGACGGAAUGGGCUUCAUUUUUUAAUGACAUAUUUCUAGAUACAAUAAACACAUUUAAGUAUAUAUAAAUCUUUAAAUAUAAACAAAUCACAAUAUAAAAAUGUUUAACCGUAUCUUCUUACAUCGUUAAGCAAGCAUAAAACUAUGAAAACAAUUAAAAGCAAACAUUAAAAAUUAAGAUUUAAGAUUUUUUGUAUGUUUUUAAUUUUCUAUGUGGCUAAAUAUAUAUUUUUUUUAAAUCCGUUUCUUAAAAAUAUUUAGUAAGGGGACUUUAGUCAACCAUUUUUUCUGCUUAUAAUAUUUUAUCAUAAUUACAUUUGUUAUGUUUAUCGGAACAGAAGAUGAGCUAAUUUAACAGGAAAAUUCCCAAUUCCCAACAGAAAACGGACACCUAUGCCGCUUCAGCCAAAAUAAAGCCGUUUCAGUUGCCAUUUUUCUGCAACAUGGAUGCCGCCAUCUUGGAGUCAGUCGACAGUGAUUGGUCAGAGUCAACUUUCUCAAUGGCGACUAUACUGUCACCAAUCUUUAGUAACCUUGUUGAAAUUCCACACCUCUCCCACUGAAACUGUCUCUGGAGAAUCUGUCAAUCAAACAUUAAAGUGGAGAGCACUGACUGUAUAGGUACGAACUGGACAUAGCAAGCGUUGAGGCCCCCCAUUGGAAAUGAACUACAUUUUAUGCACUACCCAACCGAUUUUAACCCUUUGACAGCGAUUAGUCCGAGUCACGUUUUUAGAGGACCUACUGUCGCCAAUCACGAGUUAGCUUGUUGUGGUUAGUUUGAAGUCCACACCCCACGGGCGGGAUAAGCUAUCGUUCAAACGUUUGAGGCGGGGCCAGCGGGAGCUACAUGCUUUCACUGAGGGAUCUGAUAGGUCAAUUUAUAACUUUAAAAAUUGGUGGUAAAGAAAAGAAUAUCUUAAUAAAAAUAAGAAUAUAAAGAACAUGCUAAGAAGAAUGCAUCAGAGCAAGAAUAGUUAUUAAAAUGAAAGAGAAAUAACUACCUAUUUUUCAAUGGAAGUCUAUGGGACUUUGGCCUUCUUGCAACCUAUAGGUACUUUCCAAGUCCAUUUCCUACUUAUACAGUCAAUGGUGGGGAACCAGUGGACACAACAUGCUUUUACUGAAGCAUCUGAUGUUUAUAACUUGCACUAAAAAAUAUAUAUCAUGUAAUAAAACUCUAAUUAUCAAGAACAUUUUAGAAAAAAACUAUCCAAGCGUUUAUUCUGACAAAUACAUAAAUAUUUCUCUGUAGAGGUCUAUGAGUUUUGACUUCUUGGAGCCUUCAUAUUUGGAAGGGGGUGGGGUAUCCAGUCGUCUACAUACAGUCAAUGGAUGUUUGGUCUGUCCAGUUCUAUAUAUAGUUAAUGGGGCGGUGGCAGCUGGCUCGCUGGGUGGCAGCAGCUCUGAUUGGACGGCGUGUAAAUGUCUCCGCACGGCCGCCGGACCGCGGUAGUCCGGGGCUUUUUAUAAGGCGGCACAC